rnacentral:misc_RNA from 1 species
GUGAUUGACUUUCCAUAACAGUGCACAUAUGAAUUUUGAGUUUAUUGCCACAUGUGAAAUGCAUCUUUUAUACCUAAUCUCUUCUUUUUAAUUUCGUAAUUCAGCAUUGAAUAACGCAUUCAAGGUUUCAAACAUACUUAUGAAUUUCUGGUUAUUAUAUCUUUUUAUUUUUAAUGGUUAGUUACUACAUUUGGCUAGCACCUCCUAUGAGCUUAUACAGAUGAGCCUUUUAAGGAGAACUCAAGAACACUGCUUAGAAACCAAAACACCACUUUUCAGACAGAUAAAAGGCAAACCAAAAGCCUUCUGUGUAGUUUUUCUUCUUAUUCUGUCUCGUGUUUGAAACUUUACAGCAGGAAAUGUUAACUAUAGGCAGUGUGCAUAAAGAUCAUUAUUAUCUAUUGGCUCUGCAUCCAUACAUGCAGAACUUUUAGAAGGAGAUCUGAUUCUGACCAUAUUGCUUAGAUGAAUUAACACAGCAGGAUUUUAGUUCUUGAAAAGAAUUACUUUUUUAGGCAUUAUGUAGUCAACAAUAUGAAAGUACCUGCUUUUAAUAGGAAUAUAACCUAUUUUUUCCCCUCUUAAUGGCCCGAAACUAAGAAAUGGACAUCCAAUAGCCCCUAAAGUGUUAGUUGCCUAAGAGUGACCUGGAGAAACACCAUCCAGUAUUCAUAGAAGUUGAUAUUCUGUGGUUACCAAAUUCCUUUGGGAACAGAAUUUUCUUCAACAGUGUUUAGUCCUUCCUAUUAACAUUAGUUCUCCAUCUCUAAUUAAUUCUGCAUGGUCUGCACUUCUGCAAAUUUGGGUGACACUUUAACAAGUGAUUUUCUUGCCAGUUUGUGAAGGAGUUGGGGGCUCCAGUAGAAUACAUUGUCCUGCCUACAUUUGCUUAUGAGCAUAAAAUUUUUGUUGGCCUAUUUUCAAGAAAGUUUCCACGGGCCCAAAUAUGAGUAGCACCAAGGCAAUGGAGUUGGCCAUUGAAUUUGCCACUUGAAUUUUUUGGGAUUUCUCAUGCCAAAACCUUAAAAGAUGAAGAUUUGUCUACACCAUGGGCUGAUGAGAUUGAACAAAAAGUUUUAAGCUUGCCAGAAGUUGGUAAUGCAAAUUACUUGCACACUAAAUCAAACUUAAUUUGGAUGAAUAAUGUUGCCAACAAAUUUUCUUGUCGGUUGUUUCAGGGAUUGGACCAUAUGUAGAAGUAGCUUUCUAUCAUAAGCGUUCAAGAACACUACUCGUAAUGGAUGCUAUAAUUUUUGUCCCAAGAAAGCCCCCUGAGUGUAUUAAAGACCAAGUCCAAUUGGAAUUAGAAAGUAUAAUUAGUUUAAGAAGUUUAAUAGAAUUUAAAUUAUAAAGUUUAAUAAUUAGAGUUCUAAAAGGACUAGAUUUUGAUGGCUUAUAUAUAUGUGUAGUUGGUUAACCAUUAUAUGGAAUAUAUUGUAGAGAGCUUACGAAGUGGAGAGGUGUGUUGAAUUCCGUGAGUUUUAUUUGAGUGAUUUUGAGGGUGAGAAAACUAAUUAGUUUUGUAAUUAUUUUUUCUUGAUAGUGGAUUUAUUGGUAGAGUAGGUUUACGACGAACUAUGUUAAAUUUUGUGUUCUUUAAAGUGUGAUUUUCACAACAGAAUGUAUUAGCAAGGAAUCCUUGUUAGCAUCAGCAAAGAAUGGCUUGGCAAAACUUCUGAGUAAAGGAAAAGAAGUCCCUGAGGAACCCGUUGUUGACAAUCAGAUGAACCGUCAAAAAGGUCAGUUCUUCAGUUCCAAGUCCAAUAGAACCAAGGAUGCUGUGAGUGCAAUUUGAUAGCGAACUUGUUUUGUCAUGAAGAAAUUGAAGAAAUAUAGUAUUCUGUGCAGGGUGGGAAAGAAUGGUUCUCCAGAUAUUGUUUCUUGGACCAUCCAACCUGUUGGAACCUAAUGCUAGUUUUGCUCAAAUGUCACAAAAAUUGAUUGUAUCCCCUAUUGUGAAGACUCUAGUCUUCAGCAAGGUUCCUGAAAAGGUAAAGAAAUGAUUCUGAUGCAAAAUUCCUUUUAAUGGGUCUAUAUGGUUUUGAUGAUUAUAACAGCCAGAAAAUGACCAUGCUGCCAACUCUGUCUUGAGAUGAUAUGCUAUGAGUUGUAACUGAUCAAACCAAAGGAAUGUGGUGAAUUUUAUUUGAAUUUUUGUCUUUGCAUAGUAUAUAGUAUGCAAAUGAACUAAAUUUCUGUAUGGUUAACAUUCUUCUAAACUAUGCCAACCUUUGUUCUUGUUAAAACUUCAGGUCAGGGAUUGGAUUGAUAGAAUUGCCCGGGACUGGAGAUUCAAGAGAAUCAUCCCUGCUCAUUUUGCUGCUCCAAUAAAUGCAGGCAGGUCUGAUUUCUUAGCCGCAUUUGCUUUCCUAGAUGACCUUUUGGGUGAGCGUGAAUUUACCUGGCCUUCACUUUCUCUUCUAUUCACAUCACUUAUGGGAAAGGCUGCCAGUUACUUCCCGCCUGAUGACAUGAAGACCUUAUCCUCCCUCGAUCAAUUUUUAGUCUCAGUGGGAGCUGUGAAGAAGACAGUCUCGGGGCGGAAAAGAGCAGCAUGACAGAUAAAUUUAGCCACAAAAGUUUCACCAACCUAAACUUACAAAUACUUUUAUGUCAAUAGUUUGAUGGAUCAUCAUUGUAUUCCACGUUCAUAUUUGAGUAGAAAAAGCGUAUAGCUUUGAAUUUCGCUGCCAACAGGUGUUCUAUUUUCAGAUGUGAUGAUACCCAUAAGUUAAAAGAUAAAGCCGAAAAUUGAUUUCUUCUUCGAGUGAAUUGCUAGUAAAAGGAGAUUCUUUAAAGCAGGUUCUCUUGAUUUCCAACAGCUUUAACUUA